UAAAAUUGAAACCCUAGUGAUAAGAAAAGAGAACUUAAGUUUUCUUUUUCCCCAAACCUUUCUCUCCUUUUCUCCUCUUCCCUUCUGCGACGGCGCGGCGGCGAUUCCUUCUCGGGCGGAAACGAAGCCGAGCUUAGGGCUCAACUCCGGCGGUCGACGAGCACUCCUCUCCUUCGGUUCUUCACAGAUUCGAGGUCUCCUCGUUGAAGAGAGCUCGUGGGCAUGAGGAAGGGUUGGAAUUUGAAGUUUCUCCGCGAACCCUAGAGGUUUUCUCCUUCGGUUUGAAUUCAAGAAUCAGAUAAAGGAAAAGAAAAGAUUUAGCAAGGAAGGCGACAAGGUGGCGCGGAUG